UGGGGAAUAUUGCACAAUGGGGGAAACCCUGAUGCAGCGACGCCGCGUGAACGAAGAAGGUAUUCGUAUCGUAAAGUUCUGUCCUAUGGGAAGAUAAUGACAGUACCAUAGAAGAAAGCUCCGGCUAAAUACGUGCCAGCGGCCGCGGUAAUACGUAUGGAGCGAGCGUUGUCCGGAAUUAUUGGGCGUAAAGGGUACGCAGGCGGUUUAAUAAGUCGAAUGUUAAAGAUCGGGGCCCAACCCCGUAAAGCAUUGGAAACUGAUAAACUUGAGUAGUGGAGAGGAAAGUGGAAUUCCUAGUGUAGUGGUGAAAUACGUAGAUAUUAGGAGGAAUACCAGUAGCGAAGGCGACUUUCUGGACACAAACUGACGCUGAGGUACGAAAGCGUGGGGAGCAAACAGG
rnacentral:rRNA from 1 species